rnacentral:rRNA from 1 species
AACGAACGCUGGCGGCAUGCCUAACACAUGCAAGUCGAACGAGACCUCCGGGUCUUGUGGCGCACGGGGGCGUAACGCGUGGGAACCUGCCCUUAGGUUCGGAAUAACUCCCCGAAAGGGGUGCUAAUACCGGCUAAUGUCUUCGGACCAAAGAUUUAUCGCCUUUGGAUGGGCCCGCGUUGGAUUAGAUGGUUGGUAGGGUAAAAGCCUGCCAAGGCGACGAUACAUAGCUGGUCUGAGAGGAUGAUCAGCCACACUGGGACUGAGACACGGCCCAGACUCCUACGCGAGGCAGCAGUGGGGGAUAUAGGACGAUGGGCGAAGGCCUGAACCAGCAAUGCCGCGUAAGUGAUGAAGGCCUUAGGGUUGUAAAGCUCUUUUACCCGGGAUGAUAAUGACGGUACCGGGAGAAUAAGCACCGGCUAACUCCGUG